GCCAAAUGUAGCCACAAACACAGUGACCUAUUCUUCUAGCUCUUCUAAAUCUUCCAACAGCUUAUAAGCAGCCCUCACCCAAGGGAGAGGCGAAAUUCAAAUAAAAGAGAAGGGAUGUUUUCAUCCUUAACUGCUGGAGUCCCUUCAAAACCAAGGAUUCCCUGUUUCUGCAGACGGUAAGCGGACAGCCUUUCUGUAACAAGGAAAACGUCAUUGGUCUUGUCUUUGUGUUGCUUUCACAGCUUUGAUAAACCUGAGUGUCCUGUUGAGGAAAUGUGGCAGGGCUUCCAGUAAAGGCCCCUAGGCUGACAUGCAGCGGCUUCCCUUCAGAGAACUGAAGUCUUCUGUUUCCUUCCGGCAGGAACCAGAGGUGCUUGGGAGGAAAACGCAGGAAUUCGAUUCACAUAGAACCAAAUACAAGAAUCCCAGGGGAAGGGGGACAUUUUCCUGAAAUAGAUGAGUUUCCCAUGACUCUGUGUAUGGUUUAUAAUUCACGUACCACGGCAGGCUGAACAUUGUCAUUUCCUGGCCCCUCCAGUGGUGGUUUUCCAGUGAGGAGAGCAUUCUGACUAACCGAUGCUCCUUUUUUUUACUUUGAGUCUUCAUGCUUGUGAAAGAAGGCCGACCUCGACUGCAGGGGGAGGGGAGGAGAAGGUGGGCUGCAGAGAAACAACGCAGACUUGGUCUUGUUAUCAAUCAUCUCUGGCGAUUGUGAGAGUUUAGCCUGCCCACACAGACCGGCAUUGGUGCGCAUUUUCAGCACGUCCUCAGAGCAUAAAUGAGACACCAGCUACCUUUCUCUCUGAUGGGUUUUUUAAUAUAAAUAUUCAGACCAAAUUGAAAUUUAUAGGAGAAAUUUGUAACAUCCAAACUUGAUGGUGAAAACAGGCAAGGGAGAUUUAUGUACUUUGUGUUUUUUAGCACACAAUUAUAUAUACUGGUUCACUCGCUCUUUCAUAUGUUGAAGCGUGUGUGUGUGUGUGUGUGUGUGUGUGUGUGUGUGUGUGUGUUGGGGGCUGGACUUUUUGAAUCUUUAGACAUCUAUGUAACUUUUUUGUGUGUGUGUGGAAGAUUGGCCCUGAGCUAACAUCUGUUGCCAAUCUUCCUCUUUUUGCUUGAGGAAGAUUGUCGCUGAGCUAACAUCUGUGCCCACCUUCCUCUACUUUAUGUGGCAUGCUGCCACAGCGUGGCUUGACGAGCAGUGCUCAAAGAGCAGUGCUAGGUCCGUACCUGGGAUCCGAACCUGCAAACUCCAGGCUGCCAAAGUGAAGCGCAAACUUAACCACUACCCACCAGGCAGGUCCCAGAGAUGUCUAUAUACAUCAAUCAUUUCUUCUCUUUUGUGUGGUUGCUGCAAAAAUCGUCUGUACGUGGAGGCAACAACAGGGCCCCUUCAGCCCUUCAGGAAGGCCCCCUGUGACGUGUGGAAAGCCUUACUGUACUGGACAAGAUCAGCUGUCUGUAGAUGUGAUAGAUGGUCUCUCUACGGGAUAGUCGGUGACCGGAUGGCUUACAGAAAUUUAAGAACCCCAGGCCCACAGAGCGAUGAGCCAACAGUCUCAGGAAGGUAAUAUCAAGUCACCAAAUAGGAACUUGGGUUGAUCGUAGUGAGUGAAUGAAGCGAACCGAUCUCAAGUAAGACUCUUAAAGAGUUGACAUGAUCAGCAUAGGAACUUUUAAAAAGAAACUCGAUCCAGAAAUUGUCACUCUCUCCCCAACACUGUUGAGGGGAAUGGGAAGAAGACGACUUGAAGAGUGAACCAUAUCAUUCCGGGCUCUGGGAUGUACCUCCCUGCCAGGAGACGGAUGCGGGAGGCAUUUGUGGAUAGAUGUCAGCAGCCACCACUGUUGAACAUAUUCUUGACCGUUUGGUUGACAUCUUUUGCAUUAAAUAUGAAUUAACUGGACUAAUGGUUGCUAUGUCAGUUUCUCGUGGGUUUUGCUUAAGCAAGAGGCCGUUGUAAGCCAGACACUUCUGGGUGCCCUAACUAAUCAUUUCUUGCCCUGAGAAGCCCAGGGCCAGACUGGGGACUCCCCCUGGCAGUGCCCCCCAGGAGACUAGCUGACUGGCUGUGUAGCCCCUAGC
rnacentral:lncRNA from 1 species